AUGGCCGUGCCUUGCACACGCAGACCUGGGGGCUCUCCAGGCCCACGCUGUCACCCCCGGCCGUGGCUGCGCGCUCGGCCCGGCCGCAGGAGGCGGCGGGAGCUCCGCGCUGCCGCCGCCCCCGGCCCGGCCGCGCUUCCGCCCGCGUCAGCUGACUGUGCCCGGCAGCGGCCCGGCCCGGCCCGCGGAACCUCGGCGCGCCCAGCCCGCACCAUGGCGGGGGUCGUGGUGAGCGGAGCACAGGUGUCCUACAUUAGUCAGGACUGUGAAGAAAUUCCAGAAUUCCUGGGAAGAAAAUAUGGACAUAUGGCAAAAAGGCUAGAUCUUAGCUUCAACUUGUUAAGGGUGCAGAUUAUUUCUGCUAGGAGCCUGAAUAAUUUGCACAGUAUGUGCUUGUGCAUAAUUUCCACUGUCUGA
rnacentral:lncRNA from 1 species